GGGCCAUAGCUCAAUGCUAGUGCAUCUGCUUUGCAUGCGGAAGGUCCUAGGUCCAAUCCCUGGCAUCUCCA